rnacentral:rRNA from 1 species
GACGAACGCUGGCGGCGUGCUUAACACAUGCAAGUCGAACGGAAAGGCCCUGCUUUUGUGGGGUGCUCGAGUGGCGAACGGGUGAGUAACACGUGAGUAACCUGCCCUUGACUUUGGGAUAACUUCAGGAAACUGGGGCUAAUACCGGAUAGGAGCGCCUGCUGCAUGGUGGGGGUUGGAAAGUUUCGGCGGUUGGGGAUGGACUCGGGGCUUAUCAGCUUGUUGGUGGGGUAGUGGCUUACCAAGGCUUUGACGGGUAGCCGGCCUGAGAGGGUGACCGGCCACAUUGGGACUGAGAUACGGCCCAGACUCCUACGGGAGGCAGCAGUGGGGAAUAUUGCACAAUGGGCGGAAGCCUGAUGCAGCAACGCCGCGUGCGGGAUGACGGCCUUCGGGUUGUAAACCGCUUUCGCCUGUGACGAAGCGUGAGUGACGGUAAUGGGUAAAGAAGCACCGGCUAACUACGUG